UGGCUCAGAUGGUAAAGCGUCUGCCUACAAUGCAGGAGACCCAGGUUCGAUCCCUGG
rfam:TPA: Bos taurus chromosome 11, whole genome shotgun sequence.